GUGGGGAAUAUUGGACAAUGGGCGAAAGCCUGAUCCAGCCAUGCCGCGUGUGUGAAGAAGGUCUUCGGAUUGUAAAGCACUUUAAGUUGGGAGGAAGGGUAGUAACCUAAUACGUUGCUACUUUGACGUUACCGACAGAAUAAGCACCGGCUAACUUCGUGCCAGCAGCCGCGGUAAUACGAAGGGUGCAAGCGUUAAUCGGAAUUACUGGGCGUAAAGCGCGCGUAGGUGGUUUUGUAAGUUGGAGGUGAAAUCCCCGGGCUCAACCUGGGAACUGCCACCAAAACUGCAUGACUAGAGUACGGUAGAGGGUAGUGGAAUUUCCUGUGUAGCGGUGAAAUGCGUAGAUAUAGGAAGGAACACCAGUGGCGAAGGCGACUACCUGGACUGAUACUGACACUGAGGUGCGAAAGCGUGGGGAGCAAACAGGAUUAGAAACCCUAGUAGUCC
rnacentral:rRNA from 1 species